UACAGAGGGGGCAAGCGUUGUUCGGAAUUAUUGGGCGUAAAGGGCGUGUAGGCGGUUUGGUAGGUCCGCUGUGAAAACUCGAGGCUCAACCUCGAGACGCCGGUGGAAACCAUCAGACUAGAGUCCGGAAGAGGAGAGUGGAAUUCCUGGUGUAGCGGUGAAAUGCGCAGAUAUCAGGAAGAACACCCGUGGCUAAGGCGGCUCUCUAGUACGGUACUGACGCUGAGACGCGAAAGCGUGGGGAGCGAACAGG
rnacentral:rRNA from 1 species